rnacentral:rRNA from 1 species
GGGGAAUAUUGGACAAUGGGCGAAAGCCUGAUCCAGCAAUGCCGCGUGAGUGAUGAAGGCCUUAGGGUUGUAAAGCUCUUUUACCAGGGAUGAUAAUGACAGUACCUGGAGAAUAAGCUCCGGCUAACUCCGUGCCAGCAGCCGCGGUAAUACGGAGGGAGCUAGCGUUGUUCGGAAUUACUGGGCGUAAAGCGCACGUAGGCGGCUUUUCAAGUCAGGGGUGAAAUCCCGGGGCUCAACCCCGGAACUGCCCUUGAAACUGGAUGGCUAGAAUACUGGAGAGGUGAGUGGAAUUCCGAGUGUAGAGGUGAAAUUCGUAGAUAUUCGGAAGAACACCAGUGGCGAAGGCGACUCACUGGACAGUUAUUGACGCUGAGGUGCGAAAGCGUGGGGAGCAAACAGG